UUUUCUUUCAAUUUUUUUUCAUUUCAACUCAAAUUAUUGAAUAAUUAUUCGAAGAAUUUUCUCUGGCAGAUGCAAAAUCUCUGAUGCAUCAACGUAUUGUAUUAUCCAGUUAUCGGGUACUUCAAUUUUCUUCAUUUUUUUCUGCAAAAAUCAAUGCUUUAUUUAUCCCUGAAUUGAGUAUUUGUAACCCUAGAAAUAAUGGUUUUACUGUAUUUCGUGCAUUUAUGUAUACUUCAACACAAUCUAAUAGGAGAGCACCGGACCCGAAUGAUCCGGCCACGUUGAUGAAAGAAGAUAGUAUAUCACUUUGUUGUAAAAUGUGGAUUGAUAGUUUUCGAGAAUCUGAUAAGACAGUGAAUAAUUUAACUGAUUAUUUAAGGAGAUUUGAGUUGUGGGUAUUAGCUUAUCAAAAAGUUUCUGCUGAUGAUACGGGUGCGUAUAUGCCUCGCAAUGCGAUUACUCGGCCAGCACUUGAGGAUUUGUUGGCUUUGAGAAAUGCAGUUUUAGAUAAUAGAUUUAAGUGGGGAGCUAGGUUGGAGUUUUUUAUUAAAUCUCCUAGGGAUAAGACGGAUUAUGAGUCAUUGUCGAAGAGGAAGAUUAAAGCUAUCUUGACUACAACACAGCCAAGUGCGUUUCAGGAUAGGAUUGUGCAGGAAGUGUUGUUUAUGAUAUUGGAGCCGGUUUAUGAGGCUCGGUUUUCACAGAAGUCGUUUGCUUUUCGACCUGGAAGGACUGCACAUACAGCUUUGAGGGUUAUUAGGAGAAGCUUUGCAGGGUAUUUGUGGUAUAUAAAAGGGGAUUUAAGUACAGUUUUGGAUGGGAUGAAGGUUGGGAUGGUCAUUAGUGCUUUAAUGAGGGAUGUUAGAGAUAAGAAGGUAGUUGAUUUGAUAAAGGCUGCUUUAACUACUCCUGUGGUAACUACCAGACCUGAUGAUGUUGAGAAAAAGAAGAAGACGAAAAGAAAGUAUCAGAAGAAGAGAGUCUUAGCAGAUGAUGAGCCUAAGCCUGAUCCAUACUGGCUGGAAUCGUUCUUUGGGUUUGCUCCAGAGGAGGCUGAGAAAGUUCCUUCAUGGGGGCAUUGUGGUAUACUUAGUCCACUUCUGGCUAAUGUUUGCCUUGAUGAGUUGGACCGCUGGAUGGAAGGUAAGAUUCAAGAGUUUUAUCAGCCUUCGAAGAAUGAUGUCAUUUGGAAUAGUCCUGAUGGGGAAGUAGAACAAGGAAAUACUUCUUGGCCCGAAUUUGUUCCUACCAGUGGGCCUGACAAGACAAGGAAGAUUGAUUACAUCCGUUUUGGUGGUCACAUUCUAAUAGGGGUAAGGGGACCAAGAGCAGAUGCUGCAACGCUAAGAAAGCAGUUGAUUGAGUUCUGUGAUCAGAAAUAUAUGCUCAAGCUUGACAAUGAGAGCCUUCCUAUUGAACACAUAACAAAAGGUAUUAUGUUUCUUGAUCAUGUAUUGUGCCGUAGAGUAGUCUAUCCCACACUCCGCUAUACUGCUACUGGUGGGAAAAUCAUUAGUGAAAAGGGUGUAGGGACACUGUUGUCUGUCACAGCUAGCCUGAAACAGUGCAUUAGACAAUUUAGAAAGUUGAACUUUCUCAAGGGAGACAGGGAUCCAGAUCCACAGCCGUGUUUUAGAAUGUUUCAUGCAACUCAAGCCCAUACAAAUGCUCAGAUGAAUAAGCUUUUGUCAACAAUGGUGGAAUGGUUCAGGUAUGCUGAUAAUAGAAAAAAGAUUGUUAAUUUUUGUUCUUAUAUCAUUAGGGGUUCACUUGCUAAGCUCUAUGCUGCAAAAUACAAGCUACGGUCACGAGCAAAGGUUUACAAGAUUGGUUCUAGGACUCUUAGUCGUCCUCUGAAAGAGAAAAAGGGACAGUCACCAGAAUACCAUAACUUGCUGAGAAUGGGUCUGGUGGAAUCAAUUGAUGGGCUCAUGUACACCCGCAUGUCCCUGGUACCAGAAACUGAUUACACCCCCUUUCCAGUGGCUUGGAGGCCCGAUCAUGAGAAGGCACUGCUGGAGUAUAUAAAGUUGAGUGACCAGAAAACUUUGGAGGAGCAACAGAACUGUCUAAAAGAACAAGGUCUGAUCUCACCUCAGGAUUACAUUUCAAUGCUCGUUUGGAACUACAAAAGAAAUGCUGUUCCAGUAGAUCAGAAAAGUUUGUUACUAGGCACAGGUGAGGAAAAAGAUAAUGAAGGAAAUGAAAGUGAUGAUGAUGAAGAAGGGGUUCAUGCAGCGCAAAGUUAAGCAAGAUUAACACUUUUGAAAGUCUUGCUGGCACUACCUUUUCCGAAAGAAAAGCAAACUUUUUAUGGUGCUUAACGUACUUCUGUUACCAAGAAGGGUGUAGCAGCUUCUGUGUAAGUACCCCUUUUCCGGUUGCAGCCUGAUCCAUGAGAAGGCAUUGCUAGGGUAUAUAAAGCUGAGUGACUGGAAAACAUUGGAGCAACAGAACUACCUUAAAGAACAUGGUCUUACAUCACGUCAGGAUGAUAAUAGGAGAAAUGAACGUGAUGAAGAAGGGGUUUAUGCAGUAGAAGUUUAAGCCAGAUUAGUGCUUUUGGAGGUCCUUCAGGCUUUUGUUCUUCCUAAACCUAAAGAAAAUCACAUUUUACAUUUUAUGGUACUAAAGUUACUUGUAUUGCCCAGAAGAGUGUAGCAGCUUGUAUUAUAGAGCUAAGUUGACUGAAUCAAAAAUCAUCAAUAGUUACAUGCAAUGGCAAACGAUCCAGAAAUCUAGCCUUUUGAAAGGAGACAAUUGUCGGGAUCGUUAAACUCUGAAACUGACCGACUGACUGGAGGUCUCCAGGUAAUGUUAUCUAUUUCCCUGCUUAAAUACUACAGCAUUAACAAUUUACUCUUUUUGCUAAAUAUUAAUGUAUUAUCUUUUACACGGUUGUUGUAUAUGACUAUAUGCUAGAUGUUACAGUAACCUUAUUGAUUGGACAACUUGGUAGGCAUGGUACAGGAUCGCCGAAAUUCAAGUAAAAUACUUUAUACAGCUUGAAGUUAAGUGCUAUACUGCCUUGGCUAAUCCUGAAUUGUGAUAUUCUUAUCAUGAUCUUAAGGUUUUCUUAAUGAAUUUACUCUUGCUCGCUGAGUACGAAAGCACACACUCUUCAUAGUUAGACUACUGCAUGUUGCAUGAUUAUGUUCUAGGAAUGUUGAAAGCUCAAAUCUGCUGAGAACUUUAUUACAAAUUUGAAGAGCCUAUAUAAUCUAGGUCAGCUUGCAGGUUAGCAGAUCUAGGUUUAGUUGAAUAACUCUCAGCUAUGCAUAUUUCUGAGAGGAGGAAAGCACAUGACAUGUCAUGGUUAGAUAAUUUCAAGCUGAAACAAUUACAUAUAAGCAGAAAGUUUAUGAUACUGCAUUCAUUUUUAGGCAGAUGUCUUUACCUGGUUAUUAGUAAGUAAUGCAACAAUGUGUUUUUAUCAUAUGUUUUACCUAAUUUCCUAAAUCACUAUUAAAAGAGAUGAUUAAUCCACACUUUUAUCAGAAAAAGAACUCAAUUGGAACAGUAGAGUUCAGAUUUUCUCCUUUUUCUUAGGGUAUGGUGUCAACAAUUUUGAGAAAUCAUAUUUCCAGCAAGUUUAAUUAGUGUGGUAAAAAUGAUAAUUCCUGUUUUGCAUCAAAUGCAGUGCUAUAAAAAAACAUGUAUCAAAGAAGUUAUACUGGACGAUGGGCAACAAUCAAAAAACAUACUGGACGAUGAACAUGAUUGUUCUUUUUAAGCAUUCUACUAGUGCCAACUGCGAAGUUAUCUGCUGUCCCACUCAAUUAAAGAGAACAUUUCAGGCUUAGCUAAUUGAUAAUUUCUACUAUUUUUCACUUCUUAAAUCUUUAUUUGUUUGGAUGUUGGUUAUCCCCAAAUCAUGGAAAGAAAUGCAAAUUUGGGAGUACCAACUGAUCAGUACAUGUGCCUGUGACUUCAAAUUUUGUUGUCAUCAUCUCAAAUGCUUGGUUGGUGCACUGCUUCUUAGAUAAAAUUGAGAAGGGGAAAGGAAAUUUCCACCCCUUCCCUUGGUU